GGUUGUGUAGUGUAGUGGUUAUCACUUCAGAUUUUGAGGCCUCGCCUUUACAGCAGAACCUUACUUCUGAUAACCCAGGUUCGAACCCUGGCACGACCU